ACGACGGAUCGCGUGAUGGAGGAUGCAAGGCCGUCGUCGACUUUCCCCGACUGGGAUGGUCUUCCUACUGAUCUCUUGAGGAGCAUCGGCGAGCUCCUGGACGUGCCCUGCUGCGUAUGGUUCCGCGGCGUGUGCCGGUCCUGGCGCGCGGCUCUUCCCGCGAUGCAGCCGCCGUGGCAGGUGAUUCCCGACGGCGGGUACCCCACCUGGAUGGACCAAUUCACAUUUCUCUCCCUCCCGACGCGCAGUUCCGCCCGCUGGGCACUUCCGGAUUCGCGCUGCGUCGGCUCCACCGCCGGCUGGCUCGCCCUCCUCGACCCUAACAUAAGCGUCUCGCUGCUGAACCCCCUGAUGCACGCGCAGGUCCGCCUUCCGCCGCUCCGGCGAGACAAACUCCUCUAUCCUAGUCCCUUCGGCAUCAACUCCGACGGCUCGGCG
rnacentral:rRNA from 1 species